GACGAACGCUGGCGGCAUGCCUAAUACAUGCAAGUCGAGCGAACAGAUGAAGUGCUUGCGCUUCUGACGUUAGCGGCGAACGGGUGAGUAACACGUAAGGAAUCUACCUAUAAGCGGGGGAUAACAUUCGGAAACGGGUGCUAAUACCGCAUAAUAUCUUCUUCCGCAUGGAAGAAGAUUGAAAGACGGCUCUGCUGUCCCUUAUAGAUGACCUUGCGGUGCAUUAGUUAGUUGGUGGGGUAAUGGCCUACCAAGAUGAUGAUGCAUAGCCGACCUGAGAGGGUGAUCGGCCACAUUGGGACUGAGACACGGCCCAAACUCCUACGGGAGGCAGCAGUAGGGAAUCUUCCGCAAUGGGCGAAAGCCUGACGGAGCAAUGCCGCGUGAGUGAAGAAGGCCUUCGGGUCGUAAAACUCUGUUAUAAGAGAAGAACAAAUUGUAGAGUAACUGCUACAGUCUUGACGGUAUCUUAUCAGAAAGCCACGGCUAACUACGUGCCAGCAGCCGCAGUAA
rnacentral:rRNA from 1 species